GACGAACGCUGGCGGCGUGCUUAACACAUGCAAGUCGAACGGAAAGGCCCUGCUUUUGUGGGGUGCUCGAGUGGCGAACGGGUGAGUAACACGUGAGUAACCUGCCCUUGACUUUGGGAUAACUUCAGGAAACUGGGGCUAAUACCGGAUAGGAGCUCCUGCUGCAUGGUGGGGGUUGGAAAGUUUCGGCGGUUGGGGAUGGACUCGCGGUUUAUCAGCUUGUUGGUGGGGUAGUGGCUUACCAAGGCUUUGACGGGUAGCCGGCCUGAGAGGGUGACCGGCCACAUUGGGACUGAGAUACGGCCCAGACUCCUACGGGAGGCAGCAGUGGGGAAUAUUGCACAAUGGGCGGAAGCCUGAUGCAGCAACGCCGCGUGCGGGAUGACGGCCUUCGGGUUGUAAACCGCUUUCGCCUGUGACGAAGCGUGAGUGACGGUAAUGGGUAAAGAAGCACCGGCUAACUACGCG
rnacentral:rRNA from 1 species